rnacentral:lncRNA from 1 species
AUAAAAAAAACUUUAUCAAAAUUGGAUGAAUAGUUCACUUAAAAAUAAAACACACAAAUCUAUCAUCCAUCAAUUCCUUGAAAUGCCCAAGAUCAGAUUGCCAAACAAACAGCAAUUGAUGAGUCCACAACAAUUUUCAUUUUUGCAUAACAAUAAUAGACAAUUUUCAAAAAAGUAUCAUUGCUGUUUGUUCAGAGAUUUCUACUGGCAUUCUAUAGGCUGUGAGGAACUCCAUCAAAUGUCAUGCUCAACUGUACUUGAAUGCUAGUGAAAGACAUUUUAAGCAUAUCCUUGAUUAGUUUUUGCUUGUUGAUUAGGCUCUUUGUUUUCAGUUUAUUGAUUUGGGGUGUUAU